GAUGAAGAACGCAGCGAGAUGCGAUACGUAAUGUGAAUUGCAGAAUUCAGUGAAUCAUCGAAUCUUUGAACGCAUAUUGCGCUCUCUGGUAUUCCGGAGAGCAUGCUUGUUUGAGUAUCAGUAAACACCUCAACUCCCUUUUCUUUUUUGAAAUUGGAGCUGGACUUGAGUGAUCCCAACGCUUUCUUCCAAGAAAGUGGCGGGUUGCUUGAAAUGCAGGUGCAGCUGAACUUUUCUCUGAGCUAUAAGCAUAUCUAUUUAGUCUGCCUAAAAAACAGAUUAUUACCUUUGCUGCAGCUAACAUAAAGGAGACUAGUUCUUGUGCUGACUGAUGCAGGAUUCACAGAGACAGCUUCGGCUGACUUUGUAAACUCGAUCUCAAAUCAAGUAAGACUACCCGCUGAACUUAAGCAUAUCAAUAAGCGGAGGA
rnacentral:misc_RNA from 1 species